CUGACACAGGUGCUGCAUGGCCGUCGUCAGCUCGUGUCGUGAGAUGUUGGGUUAAGUCCGUAACGAGCGCAACCCUUGUCCUUAGUUACCAGCACGUUAUGGUGGGCACUCUAAGGAGACUGCCGGUGACAAACCGGAGGAAGGUGGGGAUGACGUCAAGUCAUCAUGGCCCUUACGGCCUGGGCUACACACGUGCUACAAUGGUCGGUACAAAGGGUUGCCAAGCCGCGAGGUGGAGCUAAUCCCAUAAAACCGAUCGUAGUCCGGAUCGCAGUCUGCAACUCGACUGCGUGAAGUCGGAAUCGCUAGUAAUCGUGAAUCAGAAUGUCACGGUGAAUACGUUCCCGGGCCUU
rnacentral:rRNA from 1 species